UGGGUCCCCCAGCAGUGCCAGCCCACCAGCGCUGCGCUCGAUUUCUCACCCAGCCUUAGCUGCCUUCCCGCGGGGCAGGGCUCGGGACCUGCAGCCCGCCAUGCCUGACCCUCCUACCCACUCCAUGGGCUCCUGUGCGGCCGGAGCCUCCCCAUACUAGCCCACCAGGAGGAACGAACAACUCCAGAGCUGCCGCCUUAAGAGCUGUAACACUCACGGCAAAGUUCUGCAGCUUCACUCCUGAGCCAGCGAGACCACGAACCCACCAGAAGGAAGAAACUCCGAACACAUCAGAAUAUCAGAAGGAACAAACUCCAGACGCGCCACCUUAAGAGCUGUAACACUCACCGCAAGGGUCCACGGCUUCAUUCUUGAAGUCAGUGAGACCAAGAACCCACCAAUUCCGGACACAGUGUCAGGCGCCUGUAGUCCCGGCUCCUCGGGAGGCUGAGGCAGGAGAAUGGCGUCAACCCGGAAGGCGGAGCUUGCAGUGAGCCGAGAUCACGCCACUGCACUCCAGCCUGGGCGACUGAGCAAGACUCCGUCUCAAAACAACAACAACAACAACAACAAACCAUAGUCCUUUGUCAGUUUUUAGUCUACUACUUCUGACCUAUUAACAGCUCCUGGCCUUCCAUUUCUAGUUAUCCCAGAAGGACAUACUGGAACACUUUGCAGGUUACACACUUUGAUGGCACUAACUGCAUGUUAGAAUUGUGUGGCAAAGAACUGAAGGCAUCAGUCCAAAAGCCCAAAGAACUAAAUACUGCCAACAACCACACGAACUUGGAAGUGGGUCCUUUCCCAGUGAGCUCUGGAGAUGACAAAAGACAGACGACACCUUGAUUGUAGUCUGUGAGAAAACCUGAAGCAGAAGACCCAGCUAACUUGUGCUCAGAUUCCUGACCAAUACAAAUUGUGAGACAAAUGUGUAAUUUUUUAAGCCAAGUUUUUGAUAAUGUAAUAUGAAGUGAUAGAUAACUAAUACAAAAUAGAGAACUGGACACAUAUGUUCACGAGGUAUUCUGGCAUAAAAGUACAUUCAAUAAAAAACUUGUUGCUACUCUGUA